UGAAGGAAGCCGAUAGCAAAACGUCAGCCCGACGUACAGGAAUCUGAUGUGAGGCGGGACGACUGGGAGAGCUGGCCAAAAUCGGUUAACCCUAUACUGAAACGGAAAGUCGUCACGUAGAUCGGACGGGUAGGACGCGAA
rnacentral:ncRNA from 1 species